rnacentral:rRNA from 1 species
AGAGUUUGAUCCUGGCUCAGGACGAACGCUGGCGGCGUGCUUAACACAUGCAAGUCGAACGGAAAGGCUUCUAGCUUGCUAGGGGUACUCGAGUGGCGAACGGGUGAGUAACACGUGGGUGAUCUGCCCUCAACUUUGGGAUAAGCCUGGGAAACUGGGUCUAAUACCGGAUAGGAACAAUCUUUAGUGUGGUUGUUGGA